UUCUGAUAUUGGAUUCUCACAAUUGACUCUGUUGAGUAAGUACUGUUAUUAUCAUUUCCAUUUUACAGAUGGAGAAAAUGAGUUAUUAAAUGACUUUCUUAAGUUCAAAUAGCUGGAGGUCAAUUAAGAUCAAGAUGGAAUUAACAUACCUGUGUGCAGGAGGGACAGGGCUGCCAAAACAGAUCACAGACCUGAAUGGCAUUUUGAGCUUUAAGACAUUCUAUGUAAAUGAAAAGCUCUUGCUCUCCUUCAGACAACACUAUUAUAUCUGCUGGAAUGCAACAGUACCGUGAAUUCUUCAUGUCUGCCUUAUCCCUGAUUAUGGGUAGGAGAGAGGGAGACUAAAAUCCAGGUUAGGCAGCAUUAGCCAAAUUGAGCUCCUAUUGCAUUUAACUUGGAAAUGGACAAUCAUUCUGAAAAUUGCAUGAGAACAAAUGAUGCUUGAGAGACCCCAGUGCAGUGGAAACACCUUGAAAGGGUUGGUAAGUCAGUGAGUUUUCUUAAAAAUUCAUCCUUAGUCAUGCUCAGAUAUUUUAGCACUGUAGCGACUUGCUACAAA
rnacentral:lncRNA from 1 species